CCCUUAGAUGUUCUGGGCCGCACGCGCGCUACACUGAUGCAAUCAACGAGCCUAUCCUUGACCGACAGGUCCGGGUAAUCUUUGAAUCUGCAUCGUGACGGGGAUAGAUUAUUGCAAUUAUUAAUCUUCAACGAGGAAUGCCUAGUAGGCGCAAGUCAUCAGCUUGCGUCGAUUACGUCCCUGCCCUUUGUACACACCGCCCGUCGCUCCUACCGAUUGGGUGUGCUGGUGAAAUGUUCGGAUCGGCCGUUUGUCGCGGUUUCCGCGGCUCGUGGCUGAGAAGUUCAUUAAACCCUCCCACCUAGAGGAAGGAGAAGUCGUAACA
rnacentral:rRNA from 1 species